rnacentral:miRNA from 1 species
AUGUCUGUGUGUGUGUGUGUGUGUGUGUGUGUGUGUGUACACAUACACACACAUACAUACACACACACACACAUCU